GACAGAGGAGCCAAGCGUUGUCCGGAUUGACUGGGCGUAAAGCGCACGCAGGCGGCUGUGCACGUGGGGUGUGAAAGCUGGCGGCUUAACUGCCAGACGCCACCUCAUACGGCACGGCUCGAGCCCGUGAGAGGUCCACGGAAUUGCCGGUGUAGUGGUGAAAUGCGUAGAGAUCGGCAGGAACACCCAGGGGGAAACCAGUGGACUGGCACGGUGCUGACGCUCAGGUGCGAAAGCGUGGGGAGCGAACAGG
rnacentral:rRNA from 1 species